rnacentral:rRNA from 1 species
CCUACGGGAGGCAGCAGUGGGGAAUAUUGGACAAUGGGCGAAAGCCUGAUCCAGCAAUGCCGCGUGAGUGAUGAAGGCCUUCGGGUCGUAAAGCUCUUUUACCAGGGAUGAUAAUGACAGUACCUGGAGAAUAAGCUCCGGCUAACUCCGUGCCAGCAGCCGCGGUAAUACGGAGGGAGCUAGCGUUGUUCGGAAUUACUGGGCGUAAAGAGUACGUAGGCGGUUAUUCAAGUCAGAGGUGAAAGCCCGGGGCUCAACCCCGGAACUGCCUUUGAAACUAGAUAACUAGAGUCUUGGAGAGGUUAGUGGAAUUCCGAGUGUAGAGGUGAAAUUCGUAGAUAUUCGGAAGAACACCAGUGGCGAAGGCGACUAACUGGACAAGUACUGACGCUGAGGUACGAAAGCGUGGGGAGCAAACAGGAUUAGAUACCCUGGUAGUCCACGCCGUAAACGAUGAUAACUAGUUGUUCGGUCACUUGGUGACUGAGUGACGCAGCUAACGCAUUAAGUUAUCCGCCUGGGGAGUACGGUCGCAAGNUUAAAACUCAAAAUGAAUUGACGGCUGAGANGCGAGACGACGACGAGGAGAG